rnacentral:rRNA from 1 species
UCCGUAGGCGGGCAAUUAAGUCAGAGGUGAAAUCCCACAGCUCAACUGUGGAACUGCCUUUGAUACUGGUUGUCUUGAGUUACAGUGAAGUAGAUAGAAUAUGUAGUGUAGCGGUGAAAUGCAUAGAUAUUACAUAGAAUACCGAUUGCGAAGGAAGUCUACUAACUGUAUACUGACGCUAAUGGACGAAAGCGUGGGGAGCGAACAGGAUUAGAUACCCUGGUAGUCC